CUGAUUUUUUUCUGUAUUUAUUUUGUAAUAGUGGUUUAGAGGUCAUUCUAGGAAGUGGCGUAAGCCUGAGUUAGUACUGAGCUAGCGCUCACCAUGGSAACCUAAUAUACCUCCGGAUCAGUUUGUUGCAUUUUCCAACCGUGAGAUCGCAUUCCCGGUGUAGUCCUGAGAAGUGAUGCACCGAGUGUUAAGUUUAUGACAGAAAACUGCUGGCAACACUGAGUAUCGGGGCAAAAUAAACCAGCUCACAGCUACAGUAA